rnacentral:rRNA from 1 species
AUUGAACGCUGGCGGCAGGCCUAACACAUGCAAGUCGAACGGCAGCGGGGGUAGCUUGCUACCCCGCCGGCGAGUGGCGGACGGGUGAGUAAUGCCUGGGGAGCUGCCCAAUCGAGGGGGAUACCAGUUGGAAACGACUGCUAACACCGCAUACGCCCUGAGGGGGAAAGGUGGGGAUCUUCAGACCUACCGCGACUGGAUGCACCCAGGUGGGAUUAGCUAGUUGGUGAGGUAACGGCUCACCAAGGCGACGAUCUCUAGCUGGUCUGAGAGGAUGACCAGCCACACUGGAACUGAGACACGGUCCAGACUCCUACGGGAGGCAGCGGUGGGGAAUAUUGCACAAUGGGGGAAACCCUGAUGCAGCCAUGCCGCGUGUGUGAAGAAGGCCUCGGUUGUAAGACGACUUCUAGCGAGGAGGAAGGGUAGGAGU